GAAUGCGUGGUUGAUCUGUAAGCGUCACUUCCGUAAAGCAACCAAUAGAAACUGAGAUCUAUGUCACAUGACAGUAUUGAUGAAAUAUACAUUUUUGGUCUGUGGAUGAAAAGUGCGUCAUUGGCAUAGAUAAUAGAAAAUAGAAAGCGUCAUCGGGAAAAACGAAUCUUCACACUAGGUUUACCAAUUGGCAUCGAUUCUGAUUGGCCGUGAUAAUGAUACGUAAAUAUUCAAAACGGACCAAUUAAAUAAUGACCCGUAAAUUCUGAUUUAGCCGCUCCUAAACGCAAAACAAAAACAAAUCAAUUCGUGGGAUGCGUAUCGUAUAAUGAUGAUCUAUAUUCAGAAGUCUCAACUGUAAGUCGUGCACCGGGAAUGGAAGAAUGGAAGAAAUAAGAGAAAAUCUCAACAAUAUCGUAGCAGAAAACAGACUGUUGGUAAAAGAAAAUGAGUUAAUAAAAAGAUCCAUUCUGAGAAAAAGGAAGCUGAAUUGCUAUCGAAUAAUAUGGUCAUUAUGGAGCUAAAGGGAUCUGCAGUUUCUGGGGGUGUAACCAAACUUUUCAUAAAUAUUAAAUAAGUAACUAAACUCCCUAGUCAAAAGAUUUACAAAUCUAUUUUGAUUACUCUCAAGUCCCAAGUGUUUGCAAGUGAAAUUGAAAUUUUGGAUAACAUUGGUAUUGAUGAUGAAAAUGUUAGGAUAGAGACUAAUUUAAUUACGAGAUUCCUAAAUAAGAAUUUAAAGAAUUCUUAUAUCUAGUCUCUUAUUAUAUGACAUCGAAUCUAGCAUAGCAUAGUUAGCAAUAGUGGAGCUCACUACCGAAAUCAUUAACAAUCUGGACGGUGGCAAUAAGUGUGCUGCUGUUUUUCUUGACCUACAAAAGGCGUUUGAUACAGUGUCUAAUCCAACGCAUAGGUCUCAGUUUACAAAAAUAGGAAACCUUUUGAGUGACCAAGGGUUUGUACCCAUCUAGCUACUAGACAUAUAUAGGCCCUGCCUAUGCUAAUAAUAUAGGAAGUCCUUGCGCCUUGCGGCUUCCAACAACCAGCAUGGCUGCUGACAGGUCUUUAAUGUUUGGAUGCUGCAUUUUUACGGCAGUAUUUUCUUAAAAUAUGUCGAAAUGCUAUUAAAUUUUCAGGCAAAAAAGAAACUAAGGUGUGAAAAGCGUUGUUAAAAAAAUUAGCCACAAGUGCAUUAUACUGAAUUACAGCACACGGAUUGGCGUCUUUAAUUUUGUAAGUAAUUCGGCUUUAAGCUUAACAGACACGAUACCAGGUAUUUUGUUGUUAUAAAUUUACUGGUUUAACCUUCAUUGAAAAUGUAAAUACAGUCGAAUUCACCAAAUGUGACUCUAAAAGUGUAAAUAUAACUUUGAUGUACUAAAUAUCGCACUGGAAACAUCUAAGUGGAAAAAAUGUUGGAGAUUGCCUCGCAAAUAUAUAAUUACCAAAAGUACCAAUGGACAAUUUCGUUAAAAAACUGUAGGUAUUGGAAAAUGUAAUCAAGAAAAUUUAAAAACUAGUAUAAAACAAGUCAGUAAACAAUUAGCUCUAAAUGUAACAGAAUUAACAUUACCAAAUCCUAAAAAGUGUAGUUUAUUGUUAGUUAUUUAAAAAACAUUUUUCUAGCAAAAAUUGCAUAGCGGCUACCGCAAAAAAUUUCCGGUUAAAAAUAUUUAACUGCAAUUAUUAAAUACACGUAGAAAUUGCAUUGUGUCUACCGGGCUUCAGAUAAUAGUAUUAAUUCACAAUUUAGCAAGAUUUUAUUGAAAUCUGGAUUCAAAUGUAGAUAACUAAAAAUUACUUUUCCAGAAAUGCUCGGGAUUUUUUAAAAGUGUAAUCCGACAUGAGAAAUUUUAAAAGGAAGAUGUCCUAUUAAGAAAUAUUUUUUUCCAGGUGCACACUCAAUCCUGGUUUUGUAGACAAGAUUGUGGUUUGUGCCACAACUACGACUUACUUUUAAUUAUAAUCGCAUUUUAAAUAGUGUUUUAUUAACUCGUUUUGAAUAGUAUAAAUAAAUACAUGAAUUAUUUAAUAA